UUUUUUUAGUUAUUUUUAAAGAUAUUUUCUGCCCUAUGAUUAUUUAAAUGGCCGCAGUAUUUUGACUGUGCAAAGGUAGCAUAAUAAUUAGUUUUUUAAUUGAGGACUUGUAUGAAUGGAUAAAUGAGGUAUCUUUUUUAUUUUUUAUAUUAAUAGAAUUUUAUUUUUAGGUAAAAAAGCUUAAUUUUUUUUUAGGGACGAUAAGACCCUGUAGAACUUUAUAACUUAAUUUUUUAUAUUAUUUUUGGUUUACUUUUUUAUUUAUUAGGUUAUUUAAUUGGGGUGAUUAGUAAAUUAAUAAACUUUAUUUUAUAAUUCAUUUAUAAAUGUUUUUUUUGAUCCUUAUAAUUUAUGAUUAAUAGAUUAGUUACCUCAGGGAUAACAGCGUAAUUCUAAUUGAAAGUUCUUAUUAAUAUUUGAGUUUUCGACCUCGAUGUUGAAUUAAGGAAAUUAUGGGUGUAGAAGCUCAUUUUUAAGUCUGUUCGACUUUUAAAUCCUUACA
rnacentral:rRNA from 1 species